GGUUCCGUAGCUCAAUGGAUAGAGCAACUGCCUUCUAAGCAGUAGGUUGAUGGUUCGAUCCCAUCCGGAAUCA
rnacentral:tRNA from 4 species